UAAUUAGUUUCUUAAUUAGAAGCUGGUAUGAAUGGUUGAACGAGAAAUUAGCUGUCUCAAUUUAUAAAUUAAAAUUUUAUUUUUAAGUUAAAAAGCUUAAAUUAAUUUAAAAGACGAGAAGACCCUAUAGAGUUUUAUAAUUAAUAAAAUUUUAAUUUUAGGAUUUUUUAUAUUUUAGUAAUUAUUUUAUUGGGGUGAUAUAUAAAUUAAAAUAACUUUAUAUUUUUAAUAACAUAAAUUAAUGAUUUUUUGAUCCAUUAUUAAUGAUUAUAAGAAAAAAUUACCUUAGGGAUAACAGCGUAAUUUUUUUUUAGAGUUCUAAUCGAAAAAAGAGAUUGCGACCUCGAUGUUGGAUUAAAGUUAAUUUUUGGUGUAGAAGCUAUAAAAUUAGGUCUGUUCGACCUUUAAAACUUUACAUGAUCUGAGUUUAAACCGGUGUGAGCCAGGUUGGUUUCUAUCUUUAAAUAUUUUAAAUAUUUUAGUACGAAAGGACCAAGUAUUUUUAAAAUUUAAUUUUUAAUUGAAUAU
rnacentral:rRNA from 1 species